UCUGUUUGGGGUAUGGUUUCGGCAGACCAAUGAGGUGGGAGCUACCAUAUUAUUUAAGGACCCUUAUUCUGGCAGGCACAUAUGUGUCUUGGUGAUUCUGGGUUCCUCGCUCCCUAGUGUUUCUGUUUCCAUUCAGGUGCUGUUUAACUGCCUCUAUUGCAUGUGGUGGUGUCAGUGGGCGCUAUAGCCACCACACUACGGUGUCUGCAUCAGUGAGUCUUGGUGUGGGACAGAGGAGGCUAGCUGCCUUCAUUCGGUGGUGUGCUUCACAACAUGCUCAGUGUGCCGACACAUCAACUUUCAUCAUGACGUAAGUCGUGUUUGAUAAUUUGGUGUGACUUAAGAUGGGUUUGGAUGACCUCCUGAACUGCAGCUGGCCUGCCUUUUUCCCACCAAGCCUGGGCCUGGAUAAAUGCUAGUUUUAGAAUUCUCAUUGUGCUUCAUGGGAGAGUGAAUUUAUAUUCAUAUGAUGAGUUUUAAUGAUGCUUAAGUGUUAUAAUAAAAUUUAACUUGAUAUUCAUGAUACUCAUGUCUCA